rnacentral:rRNA from 1 species
UCCGUAGGCGGGCAAUUAAGUCAGAGGUGAAAUCCCACAGCUCAACUGUGGAACUGCCUUUGAUACUGGUUGUCUUGAGUUACAGUGAAGUAGAUAGAAUAUGUAGUGUAGCGGUGAAGUGCAUAGAUAUUACAUAGAAUACCGAUUGCGAAGGCAGUCUACUAACUGUCGACUGACGCUAAGGGACGAAAGCGUGGGGAGCGAACAGGAUUAGAUACCCUGGUAGUCC